ACAAGUGUCUCUUUACAACACCCAUAACCAUAAACCUUUACAUAUAGGCAAAGGACAUAUGAGGAUAAUAAAUUGCUGACAAUCAUUACAAGACAACGAAUUUCCAAAAUUGCCAUUUAGUGCCCUGUAUGUGUGCCACCUACUGCUGGGCAUUGAAUCCUUUCUUAAGAGUGGUUUGUAUGUGCAGCGAGACUCCAAUCUGCAUGAAGCACAUCAUUCAUUUGCUUUCAGGUAUUAAUGGGACUCUGAAAAGUUUCUCUUUUCUUGUACCAAAUGACUGUCUGAGAGCAGAGAGCUAUAAAUGUAGCAUCCCCAUUGUUUCCAUUCUGCUUUCAUCAAGAACCACGCAUACUGUAUGUUCUAAUCUAAUUCUCUUUUCAGGUACAUAUUUCUAUUGUGUGUCUAAUACACUUGUUUAUUCUAGCCGGUCUGGAAACUCCAGUAUUUGAGAUGAAGCAAGGCUAUAUGCUCCGUAGAAGCAUUUACGUGGUCACACUAGCACAAAGAGGGGAAGGAAGCAGGGAAGUCCGCAUCUCUUACUGGACCAAGAAGCCAGUCACACAGUCACAGGCGGGAUGAUGGAUAAUACAGGAAGGAAAGUUUCUGAUUGGGAAGAAAUAACUCCAUGCUGUCUGAUGCCUCCAUUCAUGACAGCUCCUUUUCAAGCCAAAUAGAUCCAAGGGAGUGUGGACCAAGAGAGUCAAUUUUGAAGUUCAAGUGCGGUAUUUGAUUUUCAUUAAGGAGAUGAUCAUUAAAGAUUCGAUGCAAAGAAUGGAUAAUUUGAUGGAACAUCUUGAGGAAGAUCGAGGAGGCAGAAAAAUUGUGAGUAUAAUGUAAUCAUUUCACAAUAAUAGGUCCUUCAUGUCCUCCAUAUCUCCCAACCCAUCUAAGACUGUGUCUUCUCCGUCUGUUUCUUCUGAAGACGAACAGAUUCUCAUCAGGAGGGAGAUUUACUCUAUGUAGAUAUCUAGAUGGAUCAAAUGGAUGUUGUGAUACAUGAUCUCAUCAUCCUGUUCAAGAUGAUCUCAGACUCAGGCACUGAGGAGGUCCUUCUCUGCCUUCUCCUGAGAAGCUUUUGGUGAAGAUACAGACCACACACCUAGUUGAUGUUUUGGGCAGCCAGGGAACUAACAAGAAAUCUCAGUUUACACUUAUUCUUGAUAUGAAUAAUUAUGCUUCCAUAGUAAUAUACUAUUCCUGUCUUCUGUGAAAAGGAGUGCUGGGAAGAGGGUGAUGUGCAGAACCCGGGCUUACAGCAGCAGUCAGAUCUGGACACUCCAGUAUUUGAGAUGAAGCAAGGUAAGGGGCCUAUCCAUAUUUCCAUGGGAAGAACUUUUCUAUCAAGUAUAUAGUCAAGGAUACUUACACCCUUCUCUUAUAAAGAAAAAGUUAUGCUAUGUUCAAUGGAUGCUUAUGUAUGUGAACCUGGACUUAAUGGAACUUGGGUAGACAUAGGAAAUGAAAGAAGAACAGAUAUUCAGACACACGUAUUGAAGGUCUGGAGUCCAUAGGCUGUACUUCCUUUGGUGAAUAUAAUCCACUGUGACUUGCUCGUCAGUGCACUUAUUGUACACGUCUGGAUUCAGGAGUUCCUGAAUCCUGCCCCAAGAAUUUAAAGCUGCUGUGGUACAUAGGGACAAGGUGUGUUCCUUGCAAAGAGCCUGAUCCUGAGGAACAGAGGGUGAUUGUGUAAUUCUCAUUUCACAUCCAACAUGAAGAAUUCAACAGCUCUUUUCGUUUGUCACUUCAGUGAGGUACAUAUUGUUUCUACUGUGUAUCGAAUACAUUUGGUUACUCUUCCCUGCAUGAACACUCCAGUAUUUGAGAUGAAACAAGGUUAAAAAAAAAAAAGAAAAAAGAAGGAAAGUUAUGCUUUACUCAAACGGAUGCUGAUGUAUGAUUUUGUUCAGGAAAGUGAUUUGCUCCAUUUGGAUAAAUAGAUGAAUCGCAUUCAUGUGUGUGGAAUGCCGGUGACCUUGGAACAUGAAAAGAAUUCUGGGAAGAGGAUGAUUUGCAGAUUCCAGGCUUUCAAUAGAAGCCAGAGUUUCACAAGCCUGCUCAUUAUAAUCUCAGACUAAGGAGUGGAGGAAGUGCUUCUCCCCAACUUUUGAGAGGUUUCACUGAAGACACACUCACCAAACCUAGCUGGUGGUCCUCAUCUGACUCUCCUGUUCAAUUGUUCCAAUUAGUUGUUUCAAUUAAAGCAGUAAAGCCAUACUUUGUCUCUGCAUUCCAAGAAGUUGACACUGGAAGAGACACCUUCCUGAGUUUAUGCACCUGACUGUGUUCUUCAGUAAGGUUCCAGUUCAAGCGGUAAAGCCAUACUUUCUCUCUGCAUCCCAAAAAGCUGACACUGGAGGAGAUCCCUUCCCUGAGUUUAUGGUACAUAUUGUUUCUACUGUGUGUCAAAUACAUUUGCUUACUCCUCCCUUCCUGGACAUUACAGUAUUAGAGAUGAAGCAAGGGGUGAGUGUUUAGAUUUGUAGUCUUCACUUCACAUCUAUCAUGCAACACUCAACACCUGUUUUUAACUGUCACUUCAGUGAGGUAUGGGCAGCCAGGAACGAACAAGCAAUCUCUAUUUACACUUAUCAUUGAUGUGAGCAAUCAUGCUUCCAUAGUAAUAUAUUAUUCCUUUCUUCUGUGAAAUGGGAUGCCAGGAAAAAGAUGAUGUGUACAGCCCAGGAUUUCAACUGCAGUCAGGGUCUCACGUGCUUGCUCAUGAUAAUCUCAGUCUCAAGCAUGGAAGAAGUGCUUCUCCCCAAUUCCUGAGAAGGUUUCACUGAAGACUCACUCACCACACCUCGCUGGUGUCAUUUACCUGAAGACAAUGUCCACUAAAUGUUCUGUGAAGUAGCAUCCACUUGUAUCUUUUUUGUUCUUACUUUUGGGGAAGUAUUGAACCUUUUGGAUUCGAGCAUCUGACUGUGCUCUUCAGUAAGGUUCCGGUUCAAGUGGUAAAGCCAUACUUUCUCUCUGCAUCCCAGGAAGUUGACACUGGAUGAGACAUGUUCCCUGAAUUUAUGAAUGUCUGGUAGUUUCUUCUUAGAAGCAGGAAUCCUGAUGUACCACUCCAUCUAUUGACCUCAGAGGAAGAAACUCACAUGGAAUGGCAGAUUGAUAACACUCCAGACUCUUGUCAGGAGGGAUAUUUACUUUGUGUUAAUAUCUAGAUGGAUCCUGUUGAUGACCCUGGGAAUGGCAGUGAAAAAGAAACAUGAAGGGAUUGGGAAAUGAAUGAGCAGUCUCCACCAACAGAAUGUCAGCCACCUGAGCAACUGCAUCUACAUAAAAUCUGCAAGAACUUUGGAAUAUAUUCUAGUCACAAAAGAACAGAGUUAAGCACAACUUCUUAAUAGGGGGUUGAGCACUUGAAUGGGCAACGCUGCAAGUUACUUGGUGACAGCUUGGACAAACUGCUUACCAGAUUUGAGGAGGGUCCCACAAGCUUGCUCAUGAUAAUCUUAGAAUCAGGCAUGAAGGAACAGCUUAUCACCAACUUCUGAGAAGUUUCCACUGAAGACACACUCACCACACCCAGCUGGUGGUAUUACACAUGAACUCAUUAUCCUGCUGAAGAUGAUCUCAGACUCAGGCACUGAGGAGGUCCUUUUUUGCUUUCUCCUGAGAAGCUUUUGAUGAAGACACAGAUUACACACAUAGCUGGUGGUAUUGUAAUUCGAGGGGCUUUCUGCCUUUUUUAUUAUU